AGUGAACGCUGGCGGCAGGCCUAAUACAUGCAAGUCGAACGGCAGCACAGCAGAGCUUGCUCUGUGGGUGGCGAGUGGCGGACGGGUGAGGAAUACAUGGGAAUCUGCCCAGUCGUGGGGGAUAACGUAUGGAAACGUACGCUAAUACCGCAUGCGCCCUUUGGGGGAAAGCCGGGGACCUUCGGGCCUGGCGCGAUUGGAUGAGCCCAUGUUCGAUUAGCUAGUUGGCGGGGUAAAGGCCCACCAAGGCGACGAUCGAUAGCUGGUCUGAGAGGAUGAUCAGCCACACUGGAACUGAGACACGGCCCAGACUCCUACGGGAGGCAGCAGUAGGGAAUAUUGGACAAUGGGCGCAAGCCUGAUCCAGCCAUGCCGCGUGAGUGAAGAAGGCCCUCGGAUUGUAAAGCUCUUUUGUCCGGAAAGAAAAGCAUUCGGUUAAUACCCGGGUGUUCUGACGGUACCGGAAGAAUAAGCACCGGCUAACUUCGUG
rnacentral:rRNA from 1 species